rnacentral:lncRNA from 1 species
CAGUCAUAAUAAUAUCUUUUUAAUUAGAUAAACUUGAAAGUGGUAUAGUAGCUCUUCUGGCUCAUUCAAUGUUGUUAUUAAGCAUCCAUGGGCACAGUUCAAUGUUAAUCCAUGUCAAAAAAAUUCAACCUAGUUUUAGUUUGGCUGAUAGACAAAAUUAUCUCAAAAGCUUCUAUAAAUGAAAAAGAAAAGAAUGGAUGGGAUAAAAUCUUCAAACCGCC